rnacentral:lncRNA from 1 species
CUUGAGAUGCUCUGCUGCACGCUCUCCCAAUUUCCCUGAGAUGCACUUUCGAUCUCCCUGAGAUGCCCGCUGCGUGCUCUCUAUCUCCCUGAGAUGCAUUGAGAUCCUCGAUCUCCCUGAGACACCCUCGUCUCCCUGAGAACCACUCUCGAUCUCUCUAAAAUGCACUUAAUCUCCCUGAGAUGCUUUGCUACACACUCUCUGUCUCCCUGAGAUGCUCUUGAUCUCUCUGAGAUCCUCUAUUGCGUGCUCUCUGUCUCUCUAAAAUGCCCUCGGUCUCCUUGAGACACCCUCGAUCUUCUUGACACUCCAAAUCGAAAUCACAACCUUGAUUGA